CACAUAAGAAAUUAAAUAUUAAAAAAAUAUAUAAUUUAAGUUGAGAAUUAAAAGCAAAAUAAUGGGGACUGUGGCUCUAUUGGCUCUUUCCUUUGCUGCUUCUUCUUCAUAUGAACAAGGGAGCUGAAAAGUUGAGCGGAGGAUACUCCGGCUGUUUCACGGUCAAAAUUCUCAAACCCAACUCAGUCAAAUUCACGCCCACAUCCUUUGUCACCACCUUCGUCAAUAUCCGCUAUCACUCACUUGUUCAAAUUUUAAUCCUAAAAAUAUAUACUAAAAGUUUUGAAUUGAGAAAGUGAUUUAAAUAAAAUUUCCUCCAAAGAAGCAUAUAAGAAUUGAUCAUGCCAAGUGAACUUUGCGUAGACAAAGGAAGAAGAAAGUUUUGUGUGUCUCUGUGGUGGGGGUGGGGGUGGAGGCUGCAAUGGUGCAAAGGAAGAAGAAUGGUUGUGGGGAUUGGGCUGUAAUUGUGCGGUGCAUAAUGGGGUGGGGGUGGAGGCUGUAACGGUGCAAAGGAAGAAGAAUGGUUGUGGGGAUUAGGCUGUAAUUGUGCGGUGCAGAAUGGGCUGGGGGGCUAUACUAUUAGUCGCAAAAAGGCUAUGGGUGACUGGGGUUUGAGGUGGGGGUGGAGGGGCUUUAGUGGUGUGAAGAAGAAAGGUUUAGGGGGUG
rnacentral:lncRNA from 1 species